rnacentral:rRNA from 1 species
AUUGAACGCUGGCGGCAUGCCUUACACAUGCAAGUCGAACGGUAACGCGGGGCAACCUGGCGACGAGUGGCGAACGGGUGAGUAAUGUAUCGGAACGUGCCCAGUUGUGGGGGAUAACUGCUCGAAAGAGCAGCUAAUACCGCAUACGACCUGAGGGUGAAAGCGGGGGAUCGCAGGACCUCGCGCAAUUGGAGCGGCCGAUAUCAGAUUAGGUAGUUGGUGAGGUAAAGGCUCACCAAGCCGACGAUCUGUAGCUGGUCUGAGAGGACGACCAGCCACACUGGGACUGAGACACGGCCCAGACUCCUACGGGAGGCAGCAGUGGGGAAUUUUGGACAAUGGACGCAAGUCUGAUCCAGCCAUGCCGCGUGCGGGAAGAAGGCCUUCGGGUUGUAAACCGCUUUUGUCAGGGAAGAAACGCUCUGGGUUAAUACCUCGGGGUAAUGACGGUACCUGAAGAAUAAGCACCGGCUAACUACGUGCCAGCCGCCGCAGUAA